CGAUUCUUCAAGUUCUGUUAUUUUCGUUCGCCGCCACCUCCGCAGCCGCCGCUUCACAUGGCUGCUGCUGCACCUAUACAAAAUGGUAAACCACUACCUCGUCCAGGGCUGGCUCCUCGCUGGAUUCCUAAACGAGGCCGAGUGCUCAAGAGGUCUAUCAAGCAAAUGUUUUCUUUAGUUGGUCGCUGCUUUGGCAAAAUGAGAAGCACUUCAAAGGUUUUCCCUCCUUGACAUGGUUAACGUCUGGCAUGCCUCAACUUGGAUCAUUUCUUCAGAUUUUUAGGAGACCCAGUUCUUCAAUUUAGUCAUUUUCUUCAAGUCUUUUUACACUUGUUGAUUUGGUUCAUGAUUCUGUCUCAAUGAGAUCGAAUUGUAAACUAACAAUGGGUGUCUUUAUAGAUAGAAAAGAGUCUCUCUUUCCUCUCACUUUUUGUUUUUUCAACCCAAAGAGAACUUGAUAGUUGAAACUUAAAAUAGUUUUAGUAAUGUUGCUUGGGUCGCCUUC
rnacentral:misc_RNA from 1 species